rnacentral:piRNA from 1 species
UGUUAAGGCAGAGGUUCCUAUUGAGGUC